GGAGUUGUAGCUCAGUGGUAGAGCAUUUGCCUAGCAUAUGUGAGGCACUGGGUUCAAUUCUCAGCACCA
rnacentral:tRNA from 1 species